rnacentral:tRNA from 1 species
ACCAGGCGGUCGGAGGUUCGAAUCCUCCAGGGCGCACCA